AAAAAGAUAAGCUAAAAAAGCUAUUAGGUUCAUACCCUAAGUAUAGGAUAACCCUUCUUUUUA
rnacentral:tRNA from 1 species